AGGAUAAUAGUUAAAAUUAACAUUUAAUUUGCAUUUAAAAAAUAUUGGAAAAUUUAAUCCAAUUUAUCUUA
rnacentral:tRNA from 1 species